rnacentral:rRNA from 1 species
AAGUCGAACGGCAGCACGGAGCUUGCUCUGGUGGCGAGUGGCGAACGGGUGAGUAAUAUAUCGGAACGUACCCUAGAGUGGGGGAUAACGUAGCGAAAGUUACGCUAAUACCGCAUACGAUCUAAGGAUGAAAGUGGGGGAUCGCAAGACCUCAUGCUCGUGGAGCGGCCGAUAUCUGAUUAGCUAGUUGGUAGGGUAAAAGCCUACCAAGGCAUCGAUCAGUAGCUGGUCUGAGAGGACGACCAGCCACACUGGAACUGAGACACGGUCCAGACUCCUACGGGAGGCAGCAGUGGGGAAUUUUGGACAAUGGGCGAAAGCCUGAUCCAGCAAUGCCGCGUGAGUGAAGAAGGCCUUCGGGUUGUAAAGCUCUUUUGUCAGGGAAGAAACGGUGAAAGCUAAUAUCUUUUGCUAAUGACGGUACCUGAAGAAUAAGCACCGGCUAACUACGUGCCAGCAGCCGCGGUAAUACGUAGGGUGCAAGCGUUAAUCGGAAUUACUGGGCGUAAAGCGUGCGCAGGCGGUUUUGUAAGUCUGAUGUGAAAUCCCCGGGCUCAACCUGGGAAUUGCAUUGGAGACUGCAAGGCUAGAAUCUGGCAGAGGGGGGUAGAAUUCCACGUGUAGCAGUGAAAUGCGUAGAUAUGUGGAGGAACACCGAUGGCGAAGGCAGCCCCCUGGGUCAAGAUUGACGCUCAUGCACGAAAGCGUGGGGAGCAAACAGGAUUAGAUACCCUGGUAGUCCACGCCCUAAACGAUGUCUACUAGUUGUCGGGUCUUAAUUGACUUGGUAACGCAGCUAACGCGUGAAGUAGACCGCCUGGGGAGUACGGUCGCAAGAUUAAAACUCAAAGGAAUUGACGGGGACCCGCACAAGCGGUGGAUGAUGUGGAUUAAUUCGAUGCAACGCGAAAAACCUUACCUACCCUUGACAUGGCUGGGAAUCCUUCGAGAGAUUAGGGAGUGCUCGAAAGAGAAACCAGUACAC